ANGGUGCAAGCGUUAAUCGGAAUUACUGGGCGUAAAGCGUGCGCAGGCGGUUAUGCAAGACAGAGGUGAAAUCCCCGGGCUCAACCUGGGAACUGCCUUUGUGACUGCAUGGCUAGAGUACGGUAGAGGGGGAUGGAAUUCCGCGUGUAGUAGUGAAAUGCGUAGAUAUGCGGAGGAACACCGAUGGCGAAGGCAAUCCCCUGGACCUGUACUGACGCUCAUGCACGAAAGCGUGGGGAGCAAAUAGGAUUAGAUACCCUGGUAGUCAAGGGCG
rnacentral:rRNA from 1 species